CCUACGGGCGGCAGCAGUGGGGAAUAUUGGACAAUGGGCGAAAGCCUGAUCCAGCCAUGCCGCGUGUGUGAAGAAGGCCUUCGGGUUGUAAAGCACUUUCAGUGGGGAAGAAAGCCUUGGGGCUAAUACCCUCGAGGAAGGACAUCACCCACAGAAGAAGCACCGGCUAACUCCGUGCCAGCAGCCGCGGUAAUACGGAGGGUGCGAGCGUUAAUCGGAAUUACUGGGCGUAAAGCGCGCGUAGGCGGUCUGAUAAGCCGGUUGUGAAAGCCCCGGGCUCAACCUGGGAACGGCAUCCGGAACUGUCAGGCUAGAGUGCAGGAGAGGAAGGUAGAAUUCCCGGUGUAGCGGUGAAAUGCGUAGAGAUCGGGAGGAAUACCAGUGGCGAAGGCGACCUUCUGGACUGACACUGACGCUGAGGUGCGAAAGCGUGGGUAGCAAACAGGAUUAGAUACCCGGGUAGUC
rnacentral:rRNA from 1 species